GAGACAAAACCCUAGCCGCAAUCAUUAGUUCAGAUUCAUUCCUCAUAUCCCCUCUCGAUUAUGAACUUGGCGAAUGACGGAGAAAUUGUCGAUUUCCCCCCAAAUCUCUUUGUGUCCCAUGAAAUCCUCACAAAUUCUCAAUUUUCUCUCCUCUAGGUUCGAUACAUCCAACUAGUUGGCAGAGGGAAGCUUCCUUCGUGAGGAUUUCGAUAAUCUCAGCCCCAAAUUGAGUUGUUUUAGGGUUCUAUCAAACAAUCAUCCAGCGAAUUCUUCGAUUUCGGAUAAGUGUGGUGAUGGAAGAGAUGAUUUGCUGGUGUGCUAAUUGAUUUGCUAGUGUUGGUAUGGACUCUAAUGAAUACCGCUGGAGUUCUUGUUUCAUUUGAAUAAUUUCUGUUUGAACAUUUUCAGCUUCAUUGUCAUAGUAUUUAGAUUUGGUUUCAGAUGUGUAGUUCUCUUUCAGUUUGAUUUCUUCAAAGAUUGAGUGUUGCUAUGCAUUGAAUACGCUAUAUGAUGCCUACAGAUUGAGGUUAUAAGCUCGCAGAGUUAUGGAUUCUAAGUUAUAAAUAAAAUGCAGGUUUUUUUUUCAAAUCGUCUGUACUUUGUUCUGUGUUUGUUUACGUGCUUUGAUCACCCACGGGCUAUCUGGUAUCCGAACGGUAAUGGGGAUGGUUGGGCUUCUGGAUCUGUUUUGCAGUCAGGGACGGGGAUGAGGAAACCCG
rnacentral:lncRNA from 1 species